rnacentral:lncRNA from 1 species
UGCCCUGCCCUACCCCAGGGGGUGACGUUGUAAUUUGCUACCCUCCUCCUAAUGAAAAACGCGUUAAGUCACGGUCGAAAAAGUCAUGUCCUACCUCACCUGUCGGCUGUCGCAGAAAAAAAGACGAGAGUAUUCCAUCACUGGCUCAUAUGCUUGUCUUCUAAUUUCUCCCGCAUGUGAUGUCAACUAAGUGCAUGCUGCUAUGUUCUGUAGCCUCGUUUGUGGAAAAUCAGUGUGCUAUUAAAUAUAUAACCAAAGGAAAGAUUUGACACAGCUUUCAACAGAAAAGAUAGUACCACUCAGCCUUAAUUCCAAAUGAUAAUCAAACACAGAAGUGGACAGAAAUAUGAAUUCGUCAACCGUACAAGUCAGUUGUCCCCAACCACCCCAACUGACAAAUCCAUCAAGGGAACAAUUUUGCUCCCAAUGUUGGACUGGUCUCGCCACUCAAAUUUAGCAAGACAAUCACUACUUGUAUCUAACACUCUCC